rnacentral:lncRNA from 1 species
CUACCUCCAAUGUAUUGACGGUGAUGAUGAAGCUUUCAACAUGGCUGUACUUCAAUACUUGGAGGAUCAGCGUCCUGACAAAGCCUACACGAAAUUAAGAAGAAGUCUCUUAUCUAUGGAUUUACAUGAGAAUGCAUUAAAACGACAGGUAAUUCUUCAAAGUGGUUUGUAUCGAUGACGAAGUUUGAAACCUCGUCUCCCUUGCGGUCUUUUUUUCUGAUGAUAUUACAGCUACCUCCAAUGUAUUGACGGUGAUGAUGAAGCUUCCAACAUGGCUGUACUUCAAUAUUUGGAGGAUCAGCGUCCUGACAAAGCCUACACAAAAUUAAGAAGAAGUCUCUUAUCUAUGGAUUUACAUGAGAAUGCAUUAAAACGACAGUCAAUGAGCAGUGCACUACCACUGGAAGUAUUCCUCUCAUCCACCCAUUUGGCACAAUUAACAAAUGCGCUCCAACGAAGCCCCGUAGGCUCCAUCAUCUACGACGGGGUGAACUUUAAUUCAAUUCUAAGGGAUAAAAAGGAUUCACAAAACAUAUCCCGGCCCAUGAUAGAAACUGUAAGUUACGACUCUUUAAAUAUACCUUGAGUAGGGAAGGAAGUUUCAAGUUAAGAAGCUGUCAGUUGCAAUUGACGGGUGACUGAGAAAAUCCAUCUGUUUCGACGGGGUACAUUUGGAGGAAGGGUCCCUCUCGACGUGAAGGGAUACUUCUUUGAUUGCAAUUAGCAUAAAAGCAGACUCACAGUAGGUCAAAGCACAAAGGCAAAUUUGCUUUGCUUCUUUCUGGCCUUGCCUUCAGCCCAAACACCCACUCUUUUAAUUUUGUGUACGAGUGUGACGUCGUGGGCAACGUCUCUUUAGGUAGGGUGAGAUCUGAUAAUCGGAUAAAAAUCCUACCUAAUCAAACUAUUUAUUUUAUGACGGCUGAUAACUUACUUGCUCAAGAUUCUCUUUUCGUUUUAGGAUAAGAUUGAUUCUUGGGAGCUCGCCGGGAACCUCGGCCCGACCGGGAAAAUAACAACGGUUGGAGGCCAGAUCUUUUUUACUGGAAAACCAAAACUGGCCCAUUAAAAACAUCGUAAUCGUCGUUAUCCUCUUCACAUGAAUUUCCGAAGGUAUUAUGAAGUGUGUGUCAUGAGUACAUCUCACGGAAGCAGACGGAAACCCAAAAAGACUGGGAUGAAACAUUGACCAUUAUAAGAUCAUGUAACAGCCUCAAAACGAAAAACUUUCCGAACUUGAUCAGUAAUGACCCUUCCAUCAAACAAAAAGAGGAACGUACAUUUGUUAAGAAAUGUUUUGAUGCACCGAUUGAUGCUACCACACAUGAAGAAGUGAAGGCCAUCUUCAAAAACCUUAUCAUCGUUCUUUUAAAUCGAUCGUUAACAGUAGAGGUGCUGAUGCGGGAUGUGCUCCGGGGCCUUGCUACCCUUACGCGAAACCAUGCUCGUUGUGUUGAUCUUUUAAGGCAGACAAUUAGGUUCUACGCCGUGGCAAUCCAAAUCGGCACCUUCCGCCGCAGUGCCCUGUGUAAUUGUAGUCUCCGUCUAGUGUCUGAAAGGAGGAGUCUACCUUCAAAACUCAUGUUUUCCCAAAUUGUUUUUGUUUUGCAUUUUAUAAUUAAAUUAGCAUGAAAAAAAGAUAAUCCUUAUCAUUUAAAAAUAAUACUACAAGUUGUAGAUGUAAUAUAGCUGAUCAUUCAUAGUCCAACAUUAGAAGAAGCCAACGAAAUAUGUGAGACUAGGAACCAGAAAUUGAAUGCUCGCCAGUAUGCUGAACAGCCAGCUGUUUUUAGAAAUUAGCUGUGUAAAUAUAAAAGGAGCGAAAUUAUAGUUGCUGUCCAAAAACCUCCAUUUCGAGGCAAACUUUCCUCCUCCCUAAUGCUCAAAUGGGUUAAGUGAGCUUGAACGAUAGAUUUUUAGAAGCUACAAUGGUCCCAGUGACCCGAAGUUGUCAUUCUUUUACACCUUUAUCAAUUACUUCAUUUGGUGCUAAAAGGGUGACAGUUGAUGAGGCCUCCCUAAUUUAGAACUUUUGUCCAGAAGAACAAGCUCAUGUUCAAAAAAUCAUGCUAGAAAUUACAACAUAUUUUUUAUAUUUAUAUUAUAAUAUUACGGUCGGUUACUUGAUACCUACCUGCCAGGGUUUCCCCGGUUACUUACCCCGAUACGAAAAUCUAUAAAUCUUUUGCGUCAUCGCCGUGUAAUAAUCUUCUCCUUUCUUUUUCUUUUUUAAGGUACUUAAAUUUGUAAAAUAUUAUCUUUACAAAUUUAACGAGGCGUAUUAAGAUAAGGUAUUAUCACUACCCAUCACAGUGAUCAAUCAAGUGAUAGUGACAAAAGCUUCUAGAACAUCUUCGGUACAAAAGCGUAUCUCUCUGUUCUCUGCUUGAUAAUCCGUGAAGUUAUGAAUAAAGAGUUUGUCGUGAAGAAUAAAUUAAGUGUAUUUAUUUAGAAUAUCAUAUCAAUCCUUGAAAUUCAAUUUAUUUACUUCAGAGCAGGAUAUGAUGAAGAUAAUGGAAAGCCCUAAGCUGAACAGGCACAAAUACUUAUGUGCCCAAACGAAGUCUUUAGAGCCCUAUGAUGCAACAGCUAUUAUGAGUGGCAUAUACGCUCAAAUGGUGGUUUAGAUUUAGAGAAACCUGAAGGUCUGACUGGUCAAGGUUGCCGCCAAGAAUUAGCAACGCAUGCAGUAGUCAGAGAUCCGGAAAACCUGGUUAUGAAAAAAUGAUCUCAAAACAUAUGGAGAAUAAAGAAAAAACUCACAGAGAUUUUUACGAGCUGCCCGUGCAGGAACUCCGAAUCAUACAUGCUGGCAAUGAUUUAUUAAAAAGAAGACUUCAUCGAGAUAUGCGGGGCCCUCGCAAAUUUCACGAUCAUCGAUGAGGUCUGCUAUCGGGGAGUCCCUUAAUUUUCAAACCUUGUUGACAAUCGAUUGACAGCAGAAGCAGCCCCUGCCGCCUUCAGGACAGCUUUUUCCCAGACACUCGAUUUUCCAAUCGAGCAAGUUCGAACUGCCAUGUCCGAUGAAAUCACCUGUCUUCAUCCGGCAGCAGUUACCGUUGAUGCGCGCCAGUAGGCCAUAGUGGACGUAUCAACUGAAAAUGCCAUGUCGAUUCUUAAUGCGGGGAUGCAACACCGUAGAUUGCUUCCCAACUUCGGCAUCGAUAUGCCGAGCUGUAGACACUCAGUUCGAGUGGUAAGUAGCAUGCGCAUCCGAUUUUGAUCCACCGACUUCGGAUAAAUGCAUUCAUCCCCUCUCCCUGAAAUUUCCUGGCUUCCUUUGAGCUUAUUUAAAGUAUCCUGUAUGAAGUGGCACAAUUUUUGAUGAAAAACUUGAUCACACACUUAAAUAAUGGGGGGAAAGGGGAGAGAAAAGAAGUAGCCAAAAAGAGAGGAAAACAAACAACUGAAGACUUCUUCAGUGAGAGGCCGCGAGAAGUUGCCAACACUGAAAAAAUAAAAAAAAACACUUUGGAUCUAGAGUCCAGACUCUUAA